GUAAAACUUUUCUGUAAAUUUACAGCGAAUUUCUAACAGUAUUGUACUGUAUUUUCAAAAAACAGUGUUAGACUGUAUAUUUACAAAAUAUUUACAGAAUGUCUGUAAAUGUACAGAAUUGUCCUGUUUUCAGCUUGCAAAAUUCGUAAUACAGAAUAAUACUGUAAAAGCAUUGCAUUAUGGGAUUGAUUUCCUUCGCGCUCAAUAUUUGAAUGUAAGCAGAGCUAGUGCUUCGGAAGUUCGGACGCCCUUUAUUUGUUAGGAUUGGUUAUUCAUAUAAACGACGGUAUAUGAAGACAACGCGUUCAACUUUUAAUCUAUAGCUGCCUGUGAUGUGAAAACGUACACGGAACAUUUAAAAGUUACACAACGACGCGGCAGAAAUGAGAGGAUUAUGCAGCAAGAAGACGGGGAGAAUACAAUGUGUCUGUGGUGAAGAUAAACGAAGAUUGACUGACUGUGCAUCAUUGACACGGUUCGUCUCAAAGCAACCAGCGCUGGAUGUUGAGCAUGGACGGUCAGGUUGUGUGUGAAGGAGAGCAGCGCAACUUUGUCUCUGGUCUUGCAACGCUCAGAUUUGCCUCAUUCUACAAUUUUAACCUCCCGGAUCUGGAAGCGGUGGCAUACACCCUUGGGUUUGAUCAGAGAUGAUUUCUCUACAUCAACCUGGAACGUGGAUCAAAGAUGAAGAAAGGGAAAAAGAACACUACAGUGAAUCCACAGGUUUCCACUCUUCUUAGAAAACUUACAUACUUUAAAUGCAAUUUUGUUUAGACACUUCCACUAUCCAGUGUAGUUGAAUUAAAAGGAAAUAAAGUUUCCUACAUUGUUAAUGAUGUGCUGUUAAUUGAAAUACAAACGUACAGCUGGCAUUUCAUCCAAUAUGCUUAUGUUAAAGAAUUAAUUCACUUUUAAAAUGAUGCAAAAAAAAGAAAGUCAUGAGGGAAAAUACAGUAAAGGAUUAGUCCACUUUCUUAAAGGAAUAGUCCACUUUAAAGAUGGGGUACAUUGACUUUUCAUAGUAGGAAAAAAAGUAAGUAAAUGGGCCCCAUCUUUAAAGUGGACUACUCCUUUAAUAAAAAAAUCCUGAUAAUUUACUUACCCCUAAGUCAUCCAAAACGUUUAUGUGUUUCUUUGUUCAGUCAAGAAGAAAUUAUUUGUUUUGUUUUUGUUUUUUUGAGUAACACAUUCCAGAAUGUUUCUCCAUAUAGUGGACUUUAAUGGACCUCAACAGUUUACAGUUUAAAUGCAGUUUAAAAGGGUGCAUACAACUUCAAAGGCUCUAAACUAGGGCUGCAUGAUAAAUCGCAUGUGAUUGUCAUUGCGCAUCUUGUCAGUAAAGCCGGUUCCUUGAUUAGUAGUAAAUCGCCAUUACCUGCUUUCAGAUGGAGCAGCAUGUACUACACAAAGCCAUAGAUCACUGACAAUCAUGGCAAAAUUUGCAUUAAUAUUAUGUAUGCGAUAUGGCCCAGCUUGUCAGUGAACUACGUCUCUGUCUAGUAAAAGCUGCUCCAUCUGAAAGCAGGUGAUGAGAUGCGCAUGACUAUCGCAUGUUAUUUAUCGUGCAGCCCUACUCUAAACUAUCCAAACUGAUGCAUAAGGGUCUUAACCAGCAAAAAUCAUAACUUUCGGCAAGAAAAAAAAUAUGCACUUUUAAUCCACAACUUCUCAUCUUGCACUAGCCGUGUGAUGCGCCAACUUGACGUCAUGUAAUGCAUAGGCAUGUCGAAAGGUCACGCAUCACAAAUGUGAAACACACACUUGCAGACCAUUUUAAACAACAAACUGACAUAAAGACAUUAAUUGUUAUCAUUCCACAUACAACAACGUCUGAACGUUCCUCUUUCUCCACGCUUGUAAACACUGGGGCGGUAGUUUUGCAUGCAUCACAUGUGACCUUUCAACAUGCUUAAGCAUUACGUUAGAUUGCGCUGGUGGGACACAAGGCUAGUGCAAGAUGAGAAGUUAUGGAUUUAUAGUACUUAUUUUUUAUUUUUCUUAAUAAAAAUGAUGAUGGUUUGCUAGAUAAGAUCCUUAUGCCUUGGUUGGGAUCGUUUAGAGCCCUUUAAAGCUGCAUCAAAACAGCAAAUUUUAAACUGCAUUUAAUCUGUAAACUAUUGAGGUCCAAUAAAGUCUUUAAAAUUGAGAAAAAGCAUGGAGUGUUUUCCCUAAAAAACUUAAUUUCUUAUUGACUGAACAAAAAAAGACAUCAACAUUUUGGAUGACAUGUGGGUGAGUAAAUUAUCCAGAUUUUUUAUUAAGAAAGUAGAGUAAUCCUUUAAUGUAUUUUCCCUCCUGACUGUCUUUUUUUGCAUCAUUUAAAAUAUUUUGAAACAUUUCCAUUCUUUGAAAGUUAAUAAGAUCACUUGAUUGUUAAUGUUCUGAUCAUUCAUAACUGUUCUGUAAACUGUUUAUUAAUUGUAAUGCAUACAGCUGACAUUUCAGCAAACAUGUUUAUGUAAAUUUU